UGGUAGAUUCGGAGGAAUUGGUGGAUACGGUGGUGGAUAUGGAGGAUAUGGUGGAUUCGGCGGAUAUGGUGGAUACGGAGGAUAUGGUGGAUACGGAGGAUAUGGUGGAUACGGAGGAUAUGGUGGAUAUGGCGGUUACGGUGGUGGAUAUGGAUAUGG